ACAUGAAGCUGGAGUUACUAGUAAUCGCAGAUCAGAAUGCUGCGGUGAAUGCGUUCCCGGGUCUUGUACACACCGCCCGUCACACCACGGAAGUUGGGGGCGCCCGAAGCCACUUAGCUAACCCAUUUGGGAAGCGAGUGUCGAAGGUGAAAUCAAUAACUGGGGUGAAGUCGUAACAAGGUAAC
rnacentral:rRNA from 1 species